GACGAACGCUGGCGGCGUGCCUAAUACAUGCAAGUCGAGCGAAGCGGCGGAUGGGUGAGUAACGCGUGGGUAACCUGCCCUUAAGUCUGGGAUACCAUUUGGAAACAGAUGCUAAUACCGGAUACUAAAGGAUGGACCUGCGAUGCAUUAGCUAGUUGGUAAGGUAACGGCUUACCAAGGCGAUGAGGCAGAGCAGGGUUGAGAGACUGAUGGGCCACAUUGGGACGGAGACACGGCCUAAAAUGCUACGGGAGGCAGAAGUAGGGAAUCUUCCAGAAUGGACGAAAGUCUGAUGGAGCAACGCCGCGUGAGUGAAGAAGGUUUUCGGAUCGUAAAGCUCUGUUGUUGGUGAAGUCAGCGAGGAGGAAGGCGUUGUGGUUAAUAACCGCAGCGAUUGACGUUACUCGCAGAAGAAGCACCGGCUAACUCCGUGCCAGCAGCCGCGGUAAUAC
rnacentral:rRNA from 1 species